AACACGCUCCUUAGAUCCACCUCUGGGGAGUUCCUCCGCUCCGCUUCUGUCGAGCUCUCUCUCUGGGAGCGGCAGGAUCGGGCCGGAGGCUCCCAGCAGCUUUACGGCUGUACAGUUGGAGGUGCUUGAGUCAUUGGCGUGUGAGAUCAGUCUACCUGCUUACCCAGAAUCCUCUCUGCCUCUGGGAGCGGCAGGA
rnacentral:snoRNA from 1 species